rnacentral:tRNA from 1 species
GGGGAUGUAGCUCAGUGGUAGCGCAUGCUUCUCCUGUAUGAAGUCCUGGGUUCAAUUCCCAGCAUCUCCA